rnacentral:rRNA from 1 species
GGGGGGGGGGGGGGGGGGGGGGGGGGGGGGGGGGGGGGGGGGGGGGGGGGGGCGUGCGGGGGGAGUCGGCGGCGGAGGGGUGGGUAAGGCCGAGGAGUCGGCCGGGUGGUGGGGGAUAAGGGCGGGAGCCGGGCGCUAAUACGGCGUACUUCCUGCGGGAGACAGGGGGGGAUCUUCGGACCUCCCGCUAUCAGAGGAGCCUAGGUCGGAUUAUCUAGGUGGUGGGGUAAAGGCCUACCAAGGCGACGAUCCGUAACUGGUCUGAGAGGAUGAUCAGUCACACUGGAACUGAGACACGGUCCAGACUCCUACGGGAGGCAGCAGUGGGGAAUAUUGGACAAUGGGCGAAAGCCUGAUCCAGCCAUGCCGCGUGUGUGAAGAAGGUCUUCGGAUUGUAAAGCACUUUAAGUUGGGAGGAAGGGCAGUAAGUUAAUACCUUGCUGUUUUGACGUUACCAACAGAAUAAGCACCGGCUAACUUCGUG